rnacentral:rRNA from 1 species
UAAACGCUGGCGGCGUGCAUGACCCAUGCAAGUCGAACGAGAAAUCUUCUGCUUGCAGAAGAGAGUAAAGUGGCGCACGGGUGAGUAACGCGUGGGUAAUCUACCUUCGAAUCGGGGAUAACAUUGCGAAAGCGAUGCUAAUACCGGAUAAUAUCCUUUGAAUUUCGAUUCUUUGGAUCAAAGAUGGCCUCUAUGUAUAAGCUAUUGUUUGAAGAUGAGCCCGCGUACCAUUAGCUAGUUGGUAGGGUAAUGGCCUACCAAGGCUACGAUGGUUAGCUGGUCUGAGAGGAUGAUCAGCCACACUGGAACUGACACACGGUCCAGACUCCUACGGGAGGCAGCAGGGAGGAAUUUUGCCCAAUGGGGGAAACCCUGAGGCAGCAACGCCGCGUGAGUGAUGAAGGCCCUCGGGUCGUAAAGCUCUGUCAAGUGGGAAGAACAUGCUUCAUAUUAAUACUAUGUCGCACUGACGGUACCAUUGAAGGAAGCACCGGCUAACUCC